CCUAGGGAGAAAAGCCUCCUUCUCUAAGCCAGGGCUCAGUUCUCUGUUUCAGGAGUGGGUUUCUUUUUUCUCUAAACAAAAACAGAGGCAAAAGUGUGCUCUACCAUCAGCAAGUGUGCACAGCAGAGAUCCCGGCUUCCUGUCAGAAGCGAGCAAACCAACAGUCUCCUGAAAGUAGCGGUCCCCAGCCUGCAGGAUGAGUAACCCCCAUUAAGAGUAUGACCUUCCUGCUCAGGUAAACCUUCUGGAAACACCCUCACAGACAUGUCUGGAGGUAUGUGUAUGUGGGUAGAGGUGCCCAAGGAGGCCAGAAGAAGGUGUUGGUCCCUGGAGCUGGAGUUACAGGAGGUUGUGAACUGAUGGACAUGAGUGCUGAGAACGGGACUCUGGUCCAGUAGGAGAGUGGCAUGCUGAGCCAUCUCUCCACCCUGUCUUUCUUUCUUUUUUUUAAAAAAUUACAUUCCGGUGCUUGCCACUAGUCGCUAGUAAUGUAGUGCUGGGUAUCAAACCCAGGAUGUUGUGCGUGUUCGGUGACCAUUUUACCAUCUCUGACAUUUUAGACAUAAAAACAUAAUUUCACCACACAGUGCUUCACAUCAUUUUCUGAUUCUGCUUCCACCAAGAGAGCAAUAUGGGAAUUUUGACAGUUUGACCAACACUGUGACGACCGUAUGUGUGGUCUGAAGCUGAGGUUGAAGAUGGGCAAGAGCAGUGUGUCAGAUACACAUUUCCAGCUCUUCUGGUACAGCUAUUACAAAAUUCAAAAAGCUGGGCAUGGUACUGUAAAGCAGUAACUCGCUACCUAGAGAUUGAAGCAAGAUAUGGUGAAUUUAAUAUUGACAUGGGCUCCACAGUGAGUUCUAAGCCAGUUUGGUUUAGAUAGGGUAGAAAGAUUUUGCUUCAAACACAAACAGAAACGGAGAAAAGAUUUAAAAGAAAAAAACAAAUCAAAGAAUUUGGGAGCUAAUCCGUCAUUCUAAUAUCUAGUUCAUCUGGGUGAAUGAAAGUUGUGUCACACGACUGUAAUCCCAGCACUUAGGAGGCUAAAACAAGAGGAUUGCCAAAAUUUUGAGGCUAGCCUGAGCUAUAUAGCGAGUUCAAGGCCAGCCUGGGCAACAUAAUGAGACCUUGAAUCAAAACAAAUUUGUCUGAGAAUGAAGUGUAGCUCAGUGGUAGAAUACUUGCUUUACCCUCAUGAGAUUCUGGGUUCCAUCAUCGAUACCACCUAAA